rnacentral:rRNA from 1 species
AACGAACGCUGGCGGCAUGCCUAACACAUGCAAGUCGAACGAAGGCUUCGGCCUUAGUGGCGCACGGGUGCGUAACGCGUGGGAAUCUGCCCCUCGGUUCGGAAUAACAGUUAGAAAUGACUGCUAAUACCGGAUGAUGACUUCGGUCCAAAGAUUUAUCGCCGAGGGAUGAGCCCGCGUAAGAUUAGGUAGUUGGUGGGGUAAAGGCCUACCAAGCCGACGAACUUUAGCUGGUCUGAAAGGAUGAUCAGCCACACUGGGACUGAGACACGGGCCAGACGGCUACGGGAGGCAGCAGUGGUGAAUAUUGGACAAUGGGCGAAAGCCUGAGCCAGCAGUGCCGCGUGAGUGAUGAAGGCCUUAGGAUUGUAAAGCUCUUUUACCAGGGAUGAUAAUGACAGUACCUGGAGAAUAAGCUCCGGCUAACUCCGUGCCAGCCGCCGCUGUAA